rnacentral:rRNA from 1 species
GUACAGAGGGUGCAAGCGUUGCUCGGAAUCAUUGGGCGUAAAGGGCAGGUAGGUGGUCUCAUUUGUCCGGGGUGAAAGCCUGGGGCUUAACCCCAGAAGGGCCCCGGAAACGGUGAGACUAGAGUACUGGAGAGGGUCGUGGAAUUCCCGGUGUAGCGGUGAAAUGCGUAGAGAUCGGGAGGAACACCAGAGGCGAAGGCGGCGACCUGGACAGUGACUGACACUCAACUGCGAAAGCGUGGGGAGCAAACAGGAUUAG